CCUACGGGAGGCAGCAGUGGGGAAUAUUGCACAAUGGGCGGAAGCCUGAUGCAGCAACGCCGCGUGCGGGAUGACGGCCUUCGGGUUGUAAACCGCUUUCAGCAGGGACGAAGCGCAAGUGACGGUACCUGCAGAAGAAGCACCGGCUAACUACGUGCCAGCAGCCGCGGUGAUACGUAGGGUGCGAGCGUUGUCCGGAUUUAUUGGGCGUAAAGAGCUUGUAGGCGGUUGGUUGCGUCGAAAGUGCAAACUCAGGGCUUAACUCUGAGCCUGCUUUCGAUACGGGCUGACUGGAGGAAGGUAGGGGAGAAUGGAAUUCCCGGUGGAGCGGUGGAAUGCGCAGAUAUCGGGAGGAACACCAGUGGCGAAGGCGGUUCUCUGGACCUUUCCUGACGCUGAGAAGCGAAAGCGUGGGGAGCAAACAGGCUUAGAUACCCUGGUAGUCCACGCUGUAAACGGUGGGUACUAGGUGUGGGGGACAUUCCACGUUCUCUGUGCCGUA
rnacentral:rRNA from 1 species